rnacentral:rRNA from 1 species
AUUGAACGCUGGCGGCAUGCCUUACACAUGCAAGUCGAACGGUAACAGGUCUUCGGAUGCUGACGAGUGGCGAACGGGUGAGUAAUACAUCGGAACGUGCCUAGUAGUGGGGGAUAACUACUCGAAAGAGUGGCUAAUACCGCAUGAGAUCUACGGAUGAAAGCAGGGGAUCGCAAGAACUUGUGCUACUAGAGCGGCCGAUGGCAGAUUAGGUAGUUGGUGGGAUAAAAGCUUACCAAGCCGACGAUCUGUAGCUGGUCUGAGAGGACGAUCAGCCACACUGGGACUGAGACACGGCCAGACUCCUACGGGAGGCAGCAGUGGGGAAUUUUGGACAAUGGGCGCAAGCCUGAUCCAGCAAUGCCGCGUGCAGGAUGAAGGCCUUCGGGUUGUAAACUGCUUUUGUACGGAACGAAAAGCCCCGGGUUAAUACCCUGGGGUCAUGACGGUACCGUAAGAAUAAGCACCGGCUAACUACGUGCCAGCAGCCGCCGUAA